UUGGUUUAAAAAAGCGCGCUUAAGCGCAAAAAAGCGCGCGCUUUUGGUGAAGCGCAGCUGUGGGCUUUUUUCUGGGCGAAGCGCGCUCACCUACACGAAGCGCCGAAAAGCGCACAUAAGCGCACAAAGCGCAGAAAAGCGCAAAGCGCAGAAAAGCGGGCUUUUAGUAUGUUAGGGUUAGGUUUUUAAAUUUUAAAAAAACUAGGUUUUAUUUCAUAAAAUCAAAGGCUUGCCUCCAGCGUCCAGCCGUCUUCUCCCAUCCCUCUCGCGUCCUGCCGUCGCGCGCCGCCGCCUGCCGUCGCGCGCUGCCGCCUGCCGUCGCGCGCCGCCUCCAGCCCGCCGCCGUCGUCGCCAGCUGUCCGCCGGUCAUCGUCCAAGGUAAAGUUUUCAGUUUUCCUUCAUUUUUUGUUCGGUUUUUUCAAGUUUGUUUUUUUACUGUCAGUUUUUUUUUUUGGUUUUUGGGUCAUUGUUUAAAGUUUUCGAUUUUUCCUUUUGUUUACUUUUUCCUUUUGUUCAGUUUUUUAAUUUCAUUUUUGGGUGCUGAAUUUUUUAAAAUGAACCUUUAAACAAGUAGCAUCAUGUAAUGUGACUUCAAAUGAAUUUUUCCAGUUCAGUUUUUUAAAAUGAAUUUUUCGGUCAUUGUCCAGUUUUCUGUUUUUUUAAAAUAAAUUCUGAUUUUUUUUAUUUUUUUUUUCUAGUUUUUUAAUGACUUCAAAUAGUUCACAAGUAGCAUCAUCAACGGAUGGAGAUGAUCCAGCUAAAAGAUGGAAGAGGACAUUGGUGAAGACAAAGAUUAUGAAGGAGAUGGGGAUGAUGCACUUAAUGAUGAUGAUAUUUGAUUAGUUGCUUGAAAUUUGAUUGAACUUUUAGACUUGCGUACUUUAAACUUAAGUAUUUGUGUGUUUUAAUUUUUAAAUUAAGUAUUUGUGUGUUUAAGUAUUUGUGGUUUUAAGUAUUUGUGUGUUUUGCUAUAAAAUAUAUUGUAGGUAAAUAUAUUAGAAUUUUUUAGGUUUUAGCGCGUUUCGCCUACGAAAAGCCCGCGCUUUCACCAAAAGCCCGCGCUUUAAGCCCCGGGGCAGUUUGCGCUUCGGUGCGCUUCACGCUUUUUUAAACCAAGCAGAUAACUUAAACUAUGACACAGUAAAUAUAAGCAUUGAUGUUGCAGGGGAGGAUAAUUUCCAUAACAUCAUUUUUGAAGAAAAAUGGAGAAAAAUUUAAAUUAUGCAAUUCUGGCCCGUAAAUUCAAGGACUAUACAUCAAGUUUCACAAAUGCCAAAUGAUAAAUUUAAGGGAU
rnacentral:lncRNA from 1 species